rnacentral:rRNA from 1 species
AGGACGAACGCUGGCGGCGUGCUUAACACAUGCAAGUCGAGCGGAAAGGCCCUUCGGGGUACUCGAGCGGCGAACGGGUGAGUAACACGUGAGUAAUCUGCCCCUAGCUCUGGGAUAGCUCCGGGAAAACCGGGAUUAAUACCGGAUACGACCACUUUAGACAUCUGUUGUGGUGGAAAGAAUUUUUGGCUAGGGAUGAGCUCGCGGCCUAUCAGCUUGUUGGCGGGGUAAUGGCCCACAAGACGAUGAUCGGUA